UGGGGAAUAUUGCACAAUGGGCGCAAGCCUGAUGCAGCCAUGCCGCGUGUAUGAAGAAGGCCUUCGGGUUGUAAAGUACUUUCAGCGGGGAGGAAGGGAGUAAAGUUAAUACCUUUGCUCAUUGACGUUACCCGCAGAAGAAGCACCGGCUAACUCCGUGCCAGCAGCCGCGGUAAUACGGAGGGUGCAAGCGUUAAUCGGAAUUACUGGGCGUAAAGCGCACGCAGGCGGUUUGUUAAGUCAGAUGUGAAAUCCCCGGGCUCAACCUGGGAACUGCAUCUGAUACUGGCAAGCUUGAGUGUCGUAGAGGGGGGUAGAAUUCCAGGUGUAGCGGUGAAAUGCGUAGAGAUCUGGAGGAAUACCGGUGGCGAAGGCGGCCCCCUGGACGAAGACUGACGCUCAGGUGCGAAAGCGUGGGGAGCAAACA
rnacentral:rRNA from 1 species